UAAAAGCUUGGUCCUGGCUUUAUAAUCAGCUUUAACCAAAUUUACACAUGCAAGUAUCAGCACCCCUGUGAGAAUGCCCUUCAUUUCCUUAUGGAAAUAAGGAGCCGGUAUCAGGCACGUUCCUUAUAGCCCACGACACCUUGCUUCGCCACACCCUCAAGGGAACUCAGCAGUGACAAAUAUUAAGCCAUAAGCGAAAGCUUGACUUAGUUAAGGUUUAGAGAGCCGGUAAAACUCGUGCCAGCCACCGCGGUUAUACGAGAGGCCCAAGUUGAUUGAUCCCGGCGUAAAGAGUGGUUAAGAAAAAAUUUAUCUAAAGUCGAACGCCCUCAGAGCAGUUAUACGCAUCCGACGGUAAGAAGCCCAUAAACGAAAGUAACUUUAUUUUAUCUGACCCCACGAAAGCUAAGAAACAAACUGGGAUUAGAUACCCCACUAUGCUUAGCCCUAAACCUCGGUAGUACAUCACACCAGCUACCCGCCAGGGUACUACGAGCAUUAGCUUGAAACCCAAAGGACUUGGCGGUGCUUUAGACCCACCUAGAGGAGCCUGUCGUAGAACCGAUAUUCCCCGUUAAACCUUACCUCUUCUUGUUUAACCCGCCUAUAUACCGCCGUCGUAAGCUUACCCUGUGAAGGCUAAAUAGUGAGCUUAACUAGUACAACCCAAAACGUCAGGUCGAGGUGUAGCGCAUGAGGAGGAAUCAGAUGGGCUACAUUCCCUUUUUAAGAGAAUACGAAUUAUCCCGUUGAAACACGGAUAUGAAGGAGGAUUUAGAAGUAAGCCGGAAAUAGAGUGUCCUGCUGAAGCUGGCUCUAGAGCGUGCACACACCGCCCGUCACUCUCCCUAAGUUCAUUUAAACGCAUGUUCAUAACACCUUAAACCCACUAAGGGGAGGCAAGUCGUAACAUGGUAAGCGUACCGGAAGGUGUGCUUGGCUAGAC
rnacentral:ncRNA from 2 species